rnacentral:rRNA from 1 species
CCCAACUACCGGAAACGGUAGCUAAUACCGGAUAAUUUAUUACAUAGCAUUAUGUGAUAAUGAAAGACGGAGCAAUCUGUCACUUGGGGAUGGGCCUGCGGCGCAUUAGCUAGUUGGUGGGGUAANGGCNCACCAAGGCGACGAUGCGUAGCCGACCUGAGAGGGUGAACGGCCACACUGGGACUGAGACACGGCCCANACUCCUACGGGAGGCAGCAGUAGGGAAUCUUCCGCAAUGGGCGAAAGCCUGACGGAGCAACGCCGCGUGAGUGAUGAAGGUUUUCGGAUCGUAAAGCUCUGUUGCCAAGGAAGAACGUCUCAUAGAGUAACUGCUAUGAGAGUGACGGUACUUGAGAAGAAAGCCCCGGCUAACUACGUGCCAGCAGCCGCGGUAAUACGUAGGGGGCAAGCGUUGUCCGGAAUUAUUGGGCGUAAAGCGCGCGCAGGCGGUUCUUUAAGUCU